CCUACGGGAGGCAGCAGUGGGGAAUUUUGGACAAUGGGCGCAAGCCUGAUCCAGCAAUGCCGCGUGAGUGAAGAAGGCCUUCGGGUUGUAAAGCUCUUUUGUCAGGGAAGAAACGGUGGAGGCUAAUAUCCUUUGCUAAUGACGGUACCUGAAGAAUAAGCACCGGCUAACUACGUGCCAGCAGCCGCGGUAAUACGUAGGGUGCAAGCGUUAAUCGGAAUUACUGGGCGUAAAGCGUGCGCAGGCGGUUUUGUAAGUUUGUCGUGAAAUCCCCGGGCUCAACCUGGGAAUGGCGAUGAAGACUGCAAGGCUAGAAUCUGGCAGAGGGGGGUAGAAUUCCACGUGUAGCAGUGAAAUGCGUAGAGAUGUGGAGGAACACCGAUGGCGAAGGCAGCCCCCUGGGUCAAGAUUGACGCUCAUGCACGAAAGCGUGGGGAGCAAACAGGAUUAGAUACCCUGGUAGUCCACGCCCUAAACGAUGUCUACUAGUUGUCGGGUUUUAAUUAACUUGGUAACGCAGCUAACGCGUGAAGUAGACCGCCUGGGGAGUACGGUCGCAAGAUUAAAACUUNAAAGAAUUGACGG
rnacentral:rRNA from 1 species